rnacentral:rRNA from 1 species
UGCGGCGGCCAUGGCCCAGGUGAGACGCCCGGUCCCAUUCCGAACCCGGAAGCUAAGGCCUGGCACGGCGAUGGUACUGCACCCGACAGGGUGUGGGAGAGUAGCAC